GACGUAGGGAGCGAGCGUUGUCCGGAUUCAUUGGGCGUAAAGAGCGCGUAGGCGGUUUGGUAAGUCGGACGUGAAAACACGAGGCUCAACCUCGUGCGUGCAUCCGAAACUGCCCGACUAGAGGUAGGUAGGGGAGAUCGGAAUUCCUGGUGUAGCGGUGGAAUGCGCAGAUAUCAGGAGGAACACCGGUGGCGAAGGCGGAUCUCUGGGCCUUACCUGACGCUGAGGCGCGAAAGCUAGGGGAGCGAACAGG
rnacentral:rRNA from 1 species